UACGAAGGGGGCUAGCGUUGCUCGGAAUCACUGGGCGUAAAGCGCACGUAGGCGGAUCUUUAAGUCAGGGGUGAAAUCCUGGAGCUCAACUCCAGAACUGCCUUUGAUACUGGGGAUCUCGAGUCCGGGAAGAGGUGAGUGGAACUCCGAGUGUAGAGGUGAAAUUCGUAGAUAUUCGGAAGAACACCAGUGGCGAAGGCGGCUCACUGGUCCGGUACUGACGCUGAGGUGCGAAAAGCGUGGGGAGAACAAGAGU
rnacentral:rRNA from 1 species